UACGUAGGGUCCGAGCGUUGUCCGGAGUUACUGGGCGUAAAGCGCGCGCAGGCGGCGGUGUAAGCAUGGCGUGAAAGCCCCCGGCUCAACCGGGGAGGGUCGUCGGGGACCGCACCGCUUGAGGGCGGUAGGGGCUGGUGGAAUGCCUGGUGUAGUGGUGAAAUGCGUAGAGAUCAGGCGGAACACCCGUAGCGAAGGCGGCCAGCUGGGCCGUCCCUGACACUGAGGCGCGAAGGCGUGGGGAGCGAACGGG
rnacentral:rRNA from 1 species